AGUUAGCCGCAGCGCCAUAGACUAGCGUCCCCCCACACCUUGGGCAGAGAGAGUUUGGGGCUCUAAACAGCUGCUGCUGCGGCAGGAGGGAGCCGAGGGCGCUUGGCUGGGGCUGCUCGCUCGGGUUCUGCCUGUUGUUGCGCGAAAUGGCGGCUGGCGUCUUGUGCCGGGGCUGUGAGGAGAGGGGGAAGAGCGAGAGAGGAGCAACUCGUGCCUGCUUUUGUAACUGCGUCAGUACAAGAUGGCGCAGGGUCUCCCUGGAGAGGGAAGGGAGUUGCACGUCCGCCGGAGGUCAUGUGACCGCGUUGCAUUCUUGUGGGGUUUGGCUGCAGACCAAGCUGGCUGAGGCGGCGGCGGCGGCUGCCCGGGAGAGUCCCUGCUUCCCUCCCCCCUCCCCGCACAGCGCCGUCGGUGCCGCGUUGGUUCCCAUUUCCCUUCCCCCAUUAACCUUAUGCACGAGGGUGUAGCUGCCGCUGAGGAAGGUUCUCGCUCCUCUCCGUAUUCUCCACCCAUCUCCAGGGUGUAGCUGCUCUCGGGGGAAGCUUUUCCAUUCCGCCCCCUCUGCGUAAGGCUUUACCCACUGCAAGGGAAAGUUCCCCCUCGGCGCCUCCGCGCUCCGCCCGACUGUGGGAGCGGGCGGAGCGCGGCUGCGGCGCUGGGCCUUCGAGCGGCCGGGUGUUUAACGUAUAUGGCACCCGCUCUCGUUCGGCUUCCCCUCCUCGUGUACGAGAGCACUUUUCUCUGUAAGUUAGGUUCCCCGGAAUCCUAGAAUGGUUCUUACUGAAAGAGUCGGUUUAAGCGAUGUUUAAAUGACCUCAUUAAAGCAGCCGAGGAAAA